UACGUAGGGUGCGAGCGUUGCCCGGAUUUAUUGGGCGUAAAGGGCGCGCAGGCGGCCACGCGCGUCCGUUGUGAAAUCGCUCGGCUCAACUGGGCGAGGUCAGCGGAUACGGCGUGGCUGGAGCAAGCUAGGGGGCAAUGGAAUUCCCGGUGUAGUGGUGGAAUGCGUAGAUAUCUGGAGGAACACCGGUGGCGAAGGCGGCAUCCUGGACCAAUUCUGACGCUGAGUGAGCGAAAGCCAGGGGAGCAAACGGG
rnacentral:rRNA from 1 species